rnacentral:rRNA from 1 species
GAUGAACGCUGGCGGCGUGCCUAAUACAUGCAAGUCGAGCGAACGGACGAGAAGCUUGCUUUUCUGAUGUUAGCGGCGGACGGGUGAGUAACACGUGGAUAACCUACCUAUAAGACUGGGAUAACUUCGGGAAACCGGAGCUAAUACCGGAUAAUAUUUUGAACCGCAUGGUUCAAAAGUGAAAGACGGUCUUGCUGUCACUUAUAGAUGGAUCCGCGCUGCAUUAGCUAGUUGGUAAGGUAACGGCUUACCAAGGCAACGAUGCAUAGCCGACCUGAGAGGGUGAUCGGCCACACUGGAACUGAGACACGGUCCAGACUCCUACGGGAGGCAGCAGUAGGGAAUCUUCCGCAAAGGGCGAAAGCCUGACGGAGCAACGCCGCGUGAAUGAUGAAGGUCUUCGGAUCGUAAAACUCUGUUAUUAGGGAAGAACAUAUGUGUAAGUAACUGUGCACAUCUUGACGGUACCUAAUCAGAAAGCCACGGCUAACUACGUG